UCUAUCUUAGGAGCAUCUGCAUAGCAUUUUCCCAUGGAUUAUUCUUCUUCCCAGUAUUAAUAUUGCCCCAAUAAGUAGUCUUUGUGAUGUCGCUUCUCUUUUUAUUGGAAAAAACACCUUCAAGCAUGUCUUCUAAGAUCUGGUUCAGCAUCUCUUCACUUAUUCUUUCCCUAGCAAGCAGCAAUCUUAAGGCUUCUCUUCAUCUGUAAAAUUAAUGUUGAAUAUUAGAAUAAGAACAGUUAUGCUAUAUCCAUAAAUAAUGUCAAAUAUCAUCCCUUACCAUGCGGGCUCUCUUCAGCAGCAACAGCACCGCCAUUUACAGUGCUGCUACUAACCUCAAUAACUUCACUAUUGCAGCAACAAUAGCAACACCAGCUUCAGCAUCUUCAGCAAUCACUCCAUCUCCAUGCUCUUCAGCAACAUCGCAAUCUUCAAGAUUUUCAAGAGUCUAAGGCUCCAUCAUCAAAAUUCAAAACUACUUUCAACUUAAUUUGAAGGAUAAAGAAAAUUUAAAUAGAGUGGAAAACAAUGCAUCCAAAUGGGUGUGAUAGGAAUUUCAAAUGCACUCCACUCUCACUCUAGCUUCUCCUAAUCCAUUCAUUCAUUUCUUCCAUUUAAGGAGGCCAUCACCAUUCACCCCUCAAUGUUAUUGCAUGCAAUUCCCAAAAUGCGUUCUGAGCACCCAAUGAGAAGAUGUGAGACAUGAAUAAGUAUGCAUGAAUUCACAAGAAGGCAUAUAAAAUCUUAAGUUAAGCACCAUAUUUCAAACUUCUCAUAUCAUUCCUAGGACAAAAUCGGACCAAAAAAUACAACUUUGCAAUCAUGAGUAACACUAGCGUUAAUUGUAAUUAACCUAAUUCAAUAAAUUGUCAUAACCUAAUUCAAUAAAUUGUCAUCGUUACUUCAGGUUCCACAGUAUUCAAACUCUUAAUACAGCAACCCAGCACGAAAUAGGAACUAUACAGUUAACAAGAUAUAUUAACACAUAAGCUAUACAGAGCAUUUUAAGUUACUUCAUGUUAAAGUUAUUUAAUCAUACUUCAGAUACCCAUAUUAUCAAAACAUGCCCCUUCAAUUAAGGGUCUGUAACCUAUGCCUAGGUAAUAUAUUUUUUUUAAGGAAUAUAAGCAGAAUUUGCUCCUUUAACUUCCACAAGCCGUGCACUCUUCAUGGUUUGUUGGAGAACAAACCAUCUGUGCCAUCUUGGUUUUAUCAUCAGCCACCAACUCAGGCUUCGCCUGAAUCACCAAGAGUUGGGAAAGUGAAACAUUGGGAAAAAGAAAAAAAAAAAGUAAUUGAUUGUUCUAGCAGCAAUCAUCUUCUUCCUGCAAGAAUCAGCCAUGAUUUCUUUUUUUUUUUUGAAAAAUUCAAAUCACCAAUAUUUUUACGUUCUUCUCCAAAUUCUUAUCAUUCACCUCAUUUCCACAACAAUUGCUAGAAAACAGAACACCAACAUUCAAACCAACAAACAAGCCAACAAAUUAAAAAAAAAAAAAAAGGCCCAUCUCCUAAAUUCAUCAAUUCAACACCACAAUCUCUACUACCCUCUUAAUCACUCUCUCUCACAUCAACGCCUCUACACUUUCAGAUUUCAUGAAAAUGAUUUCAAUAGAUUAUUAUUAUUAUUAUUAUUAUUUAUUUGGCUUUAUAGAGCCAUCAACUAAAACACUUGAAUACCUAAAUGGAAAAAUGAAAUCUGCACGUAAAUCCAUUCGAAUCUCGCCGUAGCACCACCGCCGCACCAUGCUGUUGUUCGAAUUCAAAUGACACCGUCGCUCCAAUCAAAGAUUCAGGUGCUGCAGCUGCACCACUCAUUUAAUGAUUCACGCUGCACGACGGCUGGGCUGCUAUGUUUGGCUCUUGAGAAAUUGGAGAAUGGAGGAAAAUCAGUGAAUAGAUGAGUGAGUUUGAGAGAAAAGUAUUGUUUUGGGUUUUGAGAAGAGAAAUUUUGUUUCAUGGUCGUGGCUAAGGAUCGUGUUUGGAAGAAGAAAAUAUUUUAUUUCUCUUUUCGAAUGCAAUGCGGCCUAAUUACGACUCCCCACGGGUUUAUUUUUUGCGGCGUUUGGUGUAUUAUAAUGAGGUUUAAUACAAAGUUAACUUUUUGCC
rnacentral:lncRNA from 1 species